rnacentral:misc_RNA from 1 species
UGACUUUGAAACCUUGCUCUUUCCAUAUUUGUCCAGUAAUGUAAAAGGGGCCAAGGAGUGCACUAAACUUUUCCUGGUCAAGUUGCCAGAGAGUCGAAAAUUCGUUGUGCCAAAAAACCUCAAGUUGAUCGCAGUUCCUUUAUGCCAAAUUCACGAAAACCAUAAGACGUAUGGGCCAGUUAUAUCAGGCAUUCCACAGCUGCUUUCUAAGUUCUCCUUCAACAUUAUUGAAAACUAAGAAUCAUCUUAUUAAUUAUAACGGAUGAAGAGCUAUGGUCGUCGGGUAUUAGCGAACCAGAGAAAAUAAUAUUUAUUAUUAGUGCAUUAUAGAGCUGUCAGCUAACUUUAUAUGAAUGUUGACAGACCCUUGUAUAAAACAUGCACAUAAAUCGUGGUGAUGAUUUUGUAAGUAUAAAGAUAUAUAUAUAGUUAUAUAGGUUUACAUUGUUACUUUACAACUUGUGUUUCAA